rfam:Erinaceus europaeus unplaced genomic scaffold scaffold00382, whole genome shotgun sequence
GGCAGAUGAUGGUUUAUUCUCAUGGUGGUCUGUGAAUGUCACUGAAGGUGCUGCCAAAAAUGCCAAUGGCUCAGCUGAUGCAAGGAG